UCCACACAACGUGAAGCGAGAUUCUAUAAAUAAAAUGAAUUUCUGAACAUUUUUCGAGAAAAUCAGCUCAGAUAAUAAAAGAGUUUGAGCUUAAAAAAUCUGGAGUGUCGAUAUAUAAAAAAAAAUUUCAAAUCUGAUGGAAAAACAGUAAAAUCGCAUAAUUUUGUAGUAAGUGAAAAGGAAAUGCCUUUCCCUUUUUUUAUUCGCUUGGAAUCACCAGUCGACUUCGAUUCACCCAAAAACAAGCAAAAAUCGUAAAUAUAUUAACUGAUACAGAACUGGGAUGAAGAGAUCGUAAAUUUCACAAGAAAAAAACACGAUUAAAAAGUUAUACAAACAAAAACAAAAACAAUUUAUGUAAACGAGCGUGUAAUUCUCGAUUUGUUUCUACAAAAACACAGCUUCAGCUACGAAGUGUGAAAGUAACGAGAAGAAAUAUUGAUUACACAAUUAUUAACACCUAACAGGACUAACAGAUUUCAUAACGAGGAUGUAAGUGCGUUGGUAAGUUCAACAAAGUUUCCGAGAAACAAAAUCAAAAAACUUCAAGUGCAAAAAGAAAAUAAAUCCAUAGAAUAUUUAACUCAGGAAAACUGAGCAGAGAAAAUUAAGGCAAAAAACCAAGAGCCGAAUAUAGAAAAACUAUUGGUAAACACGCAAGAAAAGUGUGAGAAAAACUUUGAGUGGCAACAGUAAGUUUGCAACAGCAACAACAACAACGAAAAGCAUACGAAUAUGAAUCAAAGAAAAUAUAGUUGGCAUUGCUGGCAAAGGGAGAAUGCCGCCGAAGAAAAAGUAAUUACCAACUAUUGCUAACUGUGCUGAGCGGCAACAACAGCAAGUAACAACCAAAAGCCAAGCAACAAUUGAAAAGAAAAAAACAAUGGCCACAAAAACAAUAACAGUAGCACAACAAGCCGGCAAAAUGAGUUACGAAAGUAAUAAGUCACGUUAUUGGCGUAUUGCCACAGCUAAGAGCCAAAACCAAGUUAGCAAGCAAAGACUGCAAAAGUUGGGACGUACAAUAAAUCCUUUGCAAAGCGCUGAGCCACACCGAGCGCCAGUCAACCAACUACAUCGUAGCGAAGCCACCAAGUGGUUGUGGCAUGGUGACGGCACAAAUACUGUAUUGCAGGCCUUCCCUCCCCGCGUGCAGUGAAGAAGCAAACAAAAAUAAAGCAAAAACAAAAAAGCGACGACGAACGCAAUAACAAGUCAAGAAAAUCAGCGCGAGUGAAGGCUGUUGCUGAUGCAAUGGCGAAAAGUAGCAAUAAUAAUUCAGAUUGCUGCAAUAACAAAAAACAAGUCAUCGCUGCCGCUUGCUAGCUUGCCACAACUCAUAUACGAGUUAGUUGUACGCUCUGCUCGCAUGUGGCAUGAAUGGAAAGUGCGGCACUCUGCCAGCGGUAGCAGCAACAGCAAUACCAACAACAAUAAGGCACAUAUGUGGCUUUGAUUUCGCUAUCGGUUGGUUGAUAGUUGAACUUCCUGUUGCAAGUUAUAAUGUUUGUAUGCGAGUGAGUGAGUGAGUGAGUGAGUGAGGCUGCCGCACGUCGAUCUCUUGGUGCUCCCUUAAGUGUGUGCAGCAGCGCAGAUUGCAAAAGCAGGCCAUUAUUUCUAUUGUUAUAAGUAAUGUUUUUGCCAUGUUGUUGUUUACAUUUGUUUUUGUGUUUUCUUUUUUCUAUCAUUUUUGUUGUUACUGUUACUGCUAUUGCUGCUGUUGCUUUACUGUUUAUUAGUUUUUGCUUUUGAUUGCCGUUGUACAGCGCAACUUAACUUAUUUAAUAACCGCAAAUAAAUGAGCAAAGUUUGUACCUCAAGCGCCACCGAACGUCUCAGCUCCAGCCUUAGCCGCAGCCAGCGCCCACAACCUUCGGCUGUCGAGGCAAACGCCAAGGCAUGAAAGGUUGCCUCUAGUUGCCAAUGAAAGAGGAAGUGCUACAGCAGCAAUAAAGAUUGUGCGAGUCUUGAGACAGGAAGAGGCCAUAAACAGUACAAUGCCAGCAAUGGAAUUGAUUCGAACGGCAUUCGAGGCGAUGGCAUACAACUAUAACAACUGCGUUAAUAUGUAUUUAUAACGCGAUUACUUUUGCUAUUUAUUGUGUUGUUAUUGGUGAAAGGGUAUUACUUUAGUGAGUUUCGCGAGGUCAAAAUCUCGGUAAGCUGUAUAG